rnacentral:rRNA from 1 species
ACUCAAAUGAAUUGACGGGGGCCCGCACAAGCGGCGGAGCAUGUUGCUUAAUUCGACGCGACGCGAAGAACCUUACCAGGGCUUGACAUGUAGGGAAAAGCCGUGGAAACACGGUGUCCGCAAGGGCCCUACACAGGUGUUGCAUGGCUGUCGUCAGCUCGUGUCGUGAGAUGUUGGGUUAAGUCCCGCAACGAGCGCAACCCCCGUCCCAUGUUGCCAGCGGGUAACGCCGGGGACUCAUGGGAGACUGCCGGGGUCAACUCGGAGGAAGGUGGGGACGAGGUCAAGUCAUCAUGGCCCUUAUGUCCUGGGCUGCAAACAUGCUACAAUGGCUGGUACAAAGGGCUGCAAACCCGUAAGGGGGAGCCAAUCCCAAAAAGCCAGUCUCAGUUCGGAUCGGGGUCUGCAACUCGACCCCGUGAAGCCGGAGUCGCUAGUAAUCGCGGAUCAGCAACGCCGCGGUGAAUACGUUCCCGGGCCUUGUACACACCGCCCGU